rnacentral:rRNA from 1 species
UAUUGCACAAUGGGGGAAACCCUGAUGCAGCGACGUCGCGUGAAGGAAGAAGUAUCUCGGUAUGUAAACUUCUAUCAGCAGGGAAGAUAAUGACGGUACCUGACUAAGAAGCCCCGGCUAACUACGUGCCAGCAGCCGCGGUAAUACGUAGGGGGCGAGCGUUAUCCGGAAUCACUGGGUGUAAAGGGAGCGUAGACGGCGUAUCAAGUCUGAUGUGAAAGGCAGGGGCUCAACCCCUGGACUGCAUUGGAAACUGGUAUGCUUGAGUGCCGGGGGGGUAAGCGGAAUUCCUAGUGUAGCGGUGAAAUGCGUAGAUAUUAGGAGGAACACCAGUGGCGAAGGCGGCUUACUGGACGGUAACUGACGUUGAGGCUCGAAAGCGUGGGGAGCAAACAGG